GACGAACGCUGGCGGCGUGCUUAACACAUGCAAGUCGAACGGAGCGAAUGAAAGCUUGCUUUUAUGAGCUUAGUGGCAAACGGGUGAGUAACACGUAGACAACCUGCCGACAGGAUGGGGACAACAUUCCGAAAGGAAUGCUAAUACCGAAUGAAGUCGAGGGAAGGCAUCUUCCUUCGAUGAAAGAUGGCCUCUAUUUAUAAGCUAUCACCUGUCGAUGGGUCUGCGUCUGAUUAGCUGGUUGGUGAGGUAACGGCUCACCAAGGCGACGAUCAGUAGCCGGUCUGAGAGGAUGAACGGCCACAUUGGGACUGAGACACGGCCCAGACUCCUACGGGAGGCAGCAGUGGGGAAUCUUCCGCAAUGGGCGCAAGCCUGACGGAGCAACGCCGCGUGAGUGAAGAAGGUCUUCGGAUCGUAAAGCUCUGUUGACGGGGACGAACGUACGGAGUGCGAAUAGUGCUCUGUAAUGACGGUACCUUCGA
rnacentral:rRNA from 1 species